AUUAUCCUGAGAUGUGCGACAAGGUGUUGUAAUUCAACCUACAUGACGACAUUGGGAGCCCGGAGUUUUCGGCAAGCCUAUGUCAGGCCGUCAUCGAGCGGAAGACAGAAGCAGGAACAGGGCACCCCCCUAUUACAAGAUAGGGCGUGAAUUAUAUCCUUGACGGCAUGUCGGGAUUUUU
rnacentral:other from 1 species